GAUGAACGCUGGCGGCGUGCCUAAUACAUGCAAGUCGAGCGAACGGACGAGAAGCUUGCUUCUCUGAUGUUAGCGGCGGACGGGUGAGUAACACGUGGAUAACCUACCUAUACGACUGGGAUAACUUCGGGAAACCGGAGCUAAUACCGGAUGAUAUUUUGAACCGCAUGGUUCAAAAGUGAAAGACGGUCUUGCUGUCACUUAUAGAUGGAUCCGCGCUGCAUUAGCUAGUUGGUAAGGUAACGGCUUACCAAGGCAACGAUGCAUAGCCGACCUGACAGUGUGAACGGCCACACUGGGACUUAGCCACGGUCCAGACUCCUAAGGGAUGCAGCGGUUGGGAAUCUUCCGAAGUGGGCGAAGACCUGACGAAGCGACACCACGUGAGUGAUGAAAGUCUUCGGUUCGGAGAACGCUGUUAUGAGGGGAGAACAGAUGUGUAAGUGACUGUGCACGUCGUAACGGUACCUAAUCAGGAAGCUACGGCGAACUACGUG
rnacentral:rRNA from 1 species